rnacentral:lncRNA from 1 species
CCUGGUGUUUGCUUCUCUUACAGUUGCAUCUCGUCCUGGGAAGACGCUUCAUAGAAGGGGCUCACCCCUAAAAUUUGCAUGUUUUCUUUCGUCUUGCACUUCUUCGGCUGUGACACUGACUGUGGAGAUCCCCUCUUGAUUGAAUUUGCCAACAGGCUGAAAUCCACACUUCAACUGGACUCCUCCACCGCUGUUGCCAAAAAUAACAAAGAUAACAGGUGUGAAGAGAUCUGA